CCUACGGGUGGCAGCAGUGGGGAAUAUUGCACAAUGGGGGAAACCCUGAUGCAGCGACGCCGCGUGAAGGAAGAAGUAUUUCGGUAUGUAAACUUCUAUCAGCAGGGAAGAAAAUGACGGUACCUGACUAAGAAGCCCCGGCUAACUACGUGCCAGCAGCCGCGGUAAUACGUAGGGGGCAAGCGUUAUCCGGAUUUACUGGGUGUAAAGGGAGCGUAGGCGGUUCAGCAAGUCAGAAGUGAAAGCCCGGGGCUCAACUCCGGGACUGCUUUUGAAACUGUUGAACUAGAGUGCAGGAGAGGUAAGUGGAAUUCCUAGUGUAGCGGUGAAAUGCGUAGAUAUUAGGAGGAACACCAGUGGCGAAGGCGGCUUACUGGACUGUAAAUGACGCUGAGGCUCGAAAGCGUGGGGAGCAAACAGGAUUAGAUACCCUUGUAGUC
rnacentral:rRNA from 1 species